ACGAACGCUGGCGGCGUGCCUAAUACAUGCAAGUUGAGCGCUGAAGGUUGGUACUUGUACGAACUGGAUGAGCAGCGAACGGGUGAGUAACGCGUGGGGAAUCUGCCUUUGAGCGGGGGACAACAUUUGGAAACGAAUGCUAAUACCGCAUAAAAACUUUAAACACAAGUUUUAAGUUUGAAAGAUGCAAUUGCAUCACUCAAAGAUGAUCCCGCGUUGUAUUAGCUAGUUGGUGAGGUAAAGGCUCACCAAGGCGAUGAUACAUAGCCGACCUGAGAGGGUGAUCGGCCACAUUGGGACUGAGACACGGCCCAAACUCCUACGGGAGGCAGCAGUAGGGAAUCUUCGGCAAUGGACGAAAGUCUGACCGAGCAACGCCGCGUGAGUGAAGAAGGUUUUCGGAUCGUAAAACUCUGUUGGUAGAGAAGAACGUUGGUGAGAGUGGAAAGCUCAUCAAGUGACGGUAACUACCCAGAAAGGGACGGCUAACUACGUGC
rnacentral:rRNA from 1 species